rnacentral:rRNA from 1 species
AUUGAACGCUGGCGGCAUGCCUAACACAUGCAAGUCGAGCGGGUGAAGGGUGUUUGCUCCUGGAUUCAGCGGCGGACGGGUGAGUAAUGUCUAGGAAUCUGCCUGGGAGUAGGGGAUAACGUCCGGCAACGUGCGCUAAUACCGCAUACGGCCUGAGGGGGAAGGUGGGGGAUCUUCGUACCUCACGCUAUCAGAUGAGCCUAGGUCGGAUUAUCUAGUUGGUGGGGUAAAGGCCGACCAAGGCGACGAUCCGUAACUGGUCUGAGAGGAUGAUGAGUCACACUGGAACUGAGACACGGUCCGGAAUCCUAGGGGAAGCAGCAGUGGGGACAGUUGGUCAAUGGGCGAAGGACUGAACGAACCACGCAGCGUGUGUGACGAAGUGGUGCGGGUUGUAAAGCAGGGUAUGUUGGGAGGAAGGGCAGUAAGUUGAUACGUGGCUGUGUUGACGUGUACACAAGAAAUAGCGCCGGCUAACUUCGUG